CCCCCCCCUCCUUCCCCGUCCUCUGCGGCGGGAUGGCGGGCGGACGGGCGCCUCACCACAGAAGUGCCUGGAGGUUGCCUCGCCUCACUUCCCGCACACUCCCAACCAUCAAUUUCUUCUUCCAUUGCUUGGUGUUUUUUUAUUUUUGGUUUUGGUUUGGUUUGGUUUUCUUUCUUUUUCCACAUUUCCGAAGGCUCUGGGCAGAGCUGGAGGAGGGAGGUAGCGCCGGAGACGCAGCAGGGUGAAGCUGAAUUUUAGCCAGGGUAUGGAAGUCCAGGAGGAGCCCUGAUGGAUGGGGGUCAUGUCCUCCCUCAAGUGGGACACAGCUUCAAAACGGGGCCUUUCCGGGGGUGCAGUUUGAAGCAGGUGACCUCCAGAAGCCCCGUCCGAGCUGUAUUUUCAGAGACGUGGGCUGGGGGAUCAGCAGUACAGCUGUGUCAGCAAAGCAUUCAUGUUCUUGCUUUCAAAGCAAAUGUCUGGAACCAUCAGAGAGCUGUGGAGUUGGUGUACCUCAAAAAGCUCCUGAAAUAGGAUCAAUCUGCUGAAACAGCAAGUUGGAGGAGAAGACAAUAUCCAGAGGAGAUGGUGGAGUGGAUCAUGGAAUCAUCAUGGUUGGAAAGAGCCUUCAAGAUGAUCAAGUCCAACCCUCAGUCCUAUGCCACCAUAGCCACGAAAUCAUCUCCUCAAGUGCCACAUCUACCAGGUUUUUUGAAUUCUCCCAGAGAUGGCGACUCCACCACCUCCUUGGGAAUCCUAUUCCAAUGCUUCACCACUCUUUCAGUGAAUAAAUUUAU